CACGCAGCUCCCGCCCACUCCGGUCGGCCUGGCUCCCAGCUUCCUGCAACCAGCGGGGAUCCCUGCCCCUCCCCCGGAGCGCCUGAGCAGCCUCAGCAGAUGGCCGCGCGGCCGGGAACAUCUGGAGGUCGCGCGACUGUCAGAAGCUGGCAGAUCUAAAGCUAAUAGAGCACCAGGACCACGUGAGGAAAUACCAGAAAAGAAGAGCUGGAAGACAAAGAUUGCCUGUCCAUGGCCCCUUCUGAUUCCAUAGAGCCGAGCUGGCUUGUGAUGUGGAAACUGAGCCUCAGAAGUGCCCAUUCAGGGGCACACAGCGAAGACCUCAAACCGGCCCUGUCAGAACUCCAGCCGUUCCUCAGCAGGGCAGAAUUUUGUGCAUGGGCUUGGCUGGUGUCUCAGCAGUCACUGUGCGAUGAACACUCUUUUCCUCCUGCCAAACCAAAUGCUUCCCUAAAUAUUUCUCUCCCACUCUCCCACCUCCGUGCUUUUCCCCCCCUGCCUGGAAUGACUUUCUGAGCUCCGUCUGCCAGCUGCAGUCCUCAUGGUCUUCCCGCUCCCUCCUCCACAAAGACAUUUUCAUUUCCCCCACUUUCUCUUCCUUUGAGCCUGGAAGCGCUUGAUCUGUGCUUUUGUGCAGGGUGGGGAGAGGGGGCUGCUCUCCACUCCUGCCCCCUGCUGCAGCUGGAGGCCCCAAACUCCCCAGUCCCCAGCUGUUGGGGUCCCCUGCAGAUCCUGGCCUCCACAUCUUUGUUCCUGCUGUGCCCCCCUACAGAAGGGCCCCUUACUCCACCCUAUCUCUUGCUUAUUCAAAAUUCAGGUGAGUAUCACCUUCUCUAGGUGACUUUCCCAGCCCUUAACUUGAGCCUUGGAGGCCCUCCUCUGUGCUUCUGUGCUUCCAUAGCAUAGUGAGGAUACCUCUGUCAUGAACAAGGGUGUUCAUUCAUUCAUUGAUUCAUUAUAGCAAGUUCUUUUUUUUUUUUUUUAAAGAUUUUAUUUAUCCACUUGAGACAGUGCACAAGUGGGGAGGAGGGGCAGAGGCCGAGGGAGAAUCAGAUUCCCCAAUGAGCAGAGUGCCCGGAUGGAUGUGGGGCUCAAUCCCAGGACCCUGAGAUCAUGACCCUAGCUGAAGGCAGACAACUGAUCAAGUCACCCAGGCACCCCGGGCGUAAGCAAGUUCUUAAAUUUCUCUU